rnacentral:misc_RNA from 1 species
GAUGAAGAACGCAGCGAAAUGCGAUAAGUAAUGCGAAUUGCAGAAUUCAGUGAAUCAUCGAAUCUUUGUACGCACAUUGCGCCCGCCAGUACUCUGGCGGGCAUGCCUGUCUGAGCGUCAUUUCAACCCUCGCGCCCGGCUUCUGUCGGGGGCGGUGUUGGGGAUCGGCCUCCCGUCUUCCGGGCGGCCGGCCCCUAAAUGGAGUGGCGACCGCGCCGUAGCCUCCUCUGCGUAGUAGUGAAACACUCGCGGGCGGAGAGCGGUGCGGCCCGCCGUAAAACCCCCAACUCUUCUAAGGUUGACCUCAGAUCAGGUAGGAAUACCCGCUGAACUUAAGCAUAUCAAUAAGCGGAGGA